AGAAAUUCCCGUAGAAAAAGUUCCUACGCAACUGAAAAUAGAUCAGAGUCGCAGCACCAAAACAAGAGCAUAUACCAAUCUGGUAGUUCAAUGCCACCUGAAUUGGCUGAUCAAGCAGUUUCUACAUCGAUUUCAGGAUCCAAGAGGUCCACACUUGCCAGAAGUUUAGACUUUUCAGCAAAGGAUCAACCUUCCAAGUCUCUUCCAAAGUCAGUAACAUCUAGUAAAGCUGAAAGUACUCCAACAAAAGAGGCUCCACCUACAGAGAAAGCUAGUCAUGUUCACCCAAAGCUUCCUGAUUAUGAUUCCUUAACUGCACAUUUACUAUCCCUCCGUUCAAAUCGCCAAUGAGCAUAAGGGAGGUACGGGUUUGUCGAACAGUUCAAUGCUCGAGACCAUUUUCAAUGAUACAUACAAAUACCCUUA